rnacentral:lncRNA from 1 species
UGUGUGUUACAGUUUAACGUUGCGUCGUUUGUUUUCUCUUAUUUUUUAGUGUAAAUUGACAUUGCGAUAAGACGUGUAACGGUACUUGUCUAUCCCAAAUUCAUGUAUUUGGUUUUGAUGUUAUAUUUGUUAUUUUCGUGGGAUUUUGUCUGAUGCUUGGUCCGUUUCUGUGUGUGUUAGUUACAUUGUAGUGUUGUGUCGUUGUUCUCUUCUUAUAAUUAUGCGUUUCCGUCAGUUUUAGUUUGUUACCCAGAUUUUGUUUUUUGUCCAUGGAUUUAUGAGUUUGAACAGCGG